rnacentral:rRNA from 1 species
GAUGAACGCUGGCGGCGUGCUUAACACAUGCAAGUCGAACGUGAGAGGGUAGCAAUAUCCUUGAAAGUGGCGCACGGGUGAGUAAUACGUAGGAACGUGUCCUGGGAUGGGGGAUAACGCUGGGAAACUGGCGCUAAUACCGCAUGUCUGCUGAGGCAGAAAGCCGUGAGGCGUCUUGGGAGCGGCCUGCGUCCGAUUAGCUUGUUGGUGGGGUAAUGGCCUACCAAGGCUGCGAUCGGUAGCUGGUCUGAGAGGAUGAUCAGCCACACUGGGACUGAGACACGGCCCAGACUCCUACGGGAGGCAGCAGUGGGGAAUCUUGCGCAAUGGCCGACAGGCUGACGCAGCGACGCCGCGUGGAGGAUGAC